rnacentral:rRNA from 1 species
ACGAACGCUGGCGGCGUGCCUAAUACAUGCAAGUAGAACGCUGAAGGAGGGGCUUGCUCUUCUGGAUGAGUUGCGAACGGGUGAGUAACGCGUAGGUAACCUGCCUGGUAGCGGGGGAUAACUAUUGGAAACGAUAGCUAAUACCGCAUAACAGUAGAUGUUGCAUGACAUUUGCUUAAAAGGUGCAAUUGCAUCACUACCAGAUGGACCUGCGUUGUAUUAGCUAGUUGGUGGGGUAACGGCUCACCAAGGCGACGAUACAUAGCCGACCUGAGAGGGUGAUCGGCCACACUGGGACUGAGACACGGCCCAGACUCCUACGGGAGGCAGCAGUAGGGAAUCUUCGGCAAUGGACGGAAGUCUGACCGAGCAACGCCGCGUGAGUGAAGAAGGUUUUCGGAUCGUAAAGCUCUGUUGUAAGAGAAGAACGAGUGUGAGAGUGGAAAGUUCACACUGUGACGGUAUCUUACCAGAAAGGGACGGCUAACUACGUGCCAGCAGCCGCGGUAAUACGUAGGUCCCGAGCGUUGUCCGGAUUUAUUGGGCGUAAAGCGAGCGCAGGCGGUUAGAUAAGUCUGAAGUUAAAGGCUGUGGCUUAACCAUAGUACGCUUUGGAAACUGUUUAACUUGAGUGCAAGAGGGGAGAGUGGAAUUCCAUGUGUAGCGGUGAAAUGCGUAGAUAUAUGGAGGAACACCGGUGGCGAAAGCGGCUCUCUGGCUUGUAACUGACGCUGAGGCUGAAAGCGUGGGGAGCAAACAGGAUUAGAUAC